UUCUCGGCAAUGGCACAACAUUUCUCGGCAAUGGCCAGCCUAGCUCAAAUUUCUAGGCAAUGAUCAGCGUGCACAAAUGCCCAGCCAUGCCCAUUGUUUCUCGGGGCAAUUGCCCCCAUGGGUUCGAGCAUUUCCUCGCAAAUGAACGCAUUUUCCUCGCAUUGGCAGCCAUGGCCGCAAUUUUCUCGAAUGGCACCAAUUUUCUCGCCAUGGCACAAUGGGCUCACAAUUUCCUCGCAAUGGUGGCAGCAAUGCACACAUUUGGCCCGGGCCAUUGUUUUCCAAAUUUCGGGGGGGAAGGGGGGAGGGGGAUUGAGGGGGGGUGUCGUGUCCCUUUCCGCACCUCCGCCUGUUUCAGGGAAGCCUUAACCCUGCUUGCUCCCCUUUUUUCUCUAUCCCUGGGGGGCGCCAGUGGCCGUCGAAUUUUUCUCGUCGGCAAUGUCAACAACAUUUUCUCGGCAAUGGCCAGCCAUGGCUUCAAUUUUCUAGGCAAUGAUCAGCCGUGGCACACAAAUGCCCAGCCAUGGCCCAAUUUUCUCGGCCAACGUCUUCCCAGCAGGUUUCACAUUUCUUUUCUCGCAAUGGCACUCAUUUCCUCGGCAAUGGGCAACCAUGGCCCAAUUUUCUCGGCAAUGGCACAAAAUUUCUCGGCAAUGGGCGGCAAUGGGCAGCAAUGGCUAACAAUUUCUCGGCAAUGGCCAGCCAUGGCCCAAUUUUCUCGGCAAUGGCACAAAUUUUCUCGGCAAUGGGCAGCCAUGGCUCAAAUUUCUGGGCAAUUGCCCAGCAAGGGCUCACAUUUCCAGGCAAUGGCACAUCAUUUCUCGGCAAUGGCCAGCCAUGGCUAAAAUUUCUGGGCAAUUGCCCAGCCAGGGCUCACAUUUCCAGGCAAUGGCACAACAUUUCUCGGCAAUGGCCAACCAUGGCUCAAAAUUCUGGGCAAGGGCUCACAAUUUCUCGGCAAUGGGCAGCCAUGGCACGCAUUUGCCAGGCCAUGGCUCAGAUUUCUCGGCAAUGGGCAGCCAUGGCUCAAAUUUCUGGGCAAUGGCUCACAAUUUCUAGGCAAUGAUCAGCCUAGGCACACAAAUGCCC
rnacentral:lncRNA from 1 species